rnacentral:lncRNA from 10 species
CCAGGAGCUAAAAUAAUAUCUAAGUUUCCUCUUUGCCUGACGCCAUCCAUGCAAAAUGUGACUUGCUUCUUCAGCAGCAGCAUGAAAACAAACUAAUACACCACUAUUCCUAGUUUGUACAACGAAAGGCUAAAAAUUUGGGAGAUGCAGGAUGACUGAAGCCCGAUUCUGGGGGUUGUUACAGCACAGUUACAGGGAUGUUCUCAGGUGUCUGGUGAUCCUUGCUUAUAAGUCCAAAUUAAUGAUGAGGCACUAAAAUGCUGAUUGGAAGCUCUCUGUGCAGGCCUUCCUCACACCCAUGUCUUCAGAUACCCAAGGCCUUUAAUACCCAAGUCCUUCCAGGAUUCUGCACAUCUCAUUAGCUUCAUAUUCCCUCUAUUUGAAAAGUUCAUAUGGACCCAGCUCUGUCAUCAUCACAUGUUCUAUAUCCCCAAACCUUGUGACAUCUGCAAAGAAGUACAGAAGACCUCAAGAGAAGAUAAGCUAGAAUUUAUUUAUUUUUAUACCUUUUAUUCAGUUUUUAUUAAAGCUUUCCUACCUUUCCA